UACGUAGGAUGCAAGCGUUGUCCGGAUUUACUGGGCGUAAAGCGUGCGCAGGCGGUUCGUUGUGUCUGAUGUGAAAGCCCCGGGCUCAACCUGGGAAUGGCAUUGGAAACUGGCGAGCUAGAGUGUGGCAGAGGGGGGUGGAAUUCCGCGUGUAGCAGUGAAAUGCGUAGAGAUGCGGAGGAACACCGAUGGCGAAGGCAGCCCCCUGGGCUGACACUGACGCUCAGGCACGAAAGCGUGGGGAGCAAACAGG
rnacentral:rRNA from 1 species